AUUCUCCUUAGCAACUGCGGGACUGCGGCGGCGCCGGCCUCCGGGGAGAAACGCGAAUGACAACAGAGCUGCUCAAGGCGGGAACUCUGAGCUAAGCAGUGGAGGUUUCUCUGGAUCUGGAGAGAAGAGUGACCUUGGAGCCAAUAAUGAGCCAUCCUGACUACAGAAUGAACCUCCGGCCCCUGGGGACCCCCAGAGGUGUGUCUGCUGUGGCUGGUCCACAUGACAUUGGUGCUUCGCCAGGUGACAAAAAGUCAAAGAACAGGUCCACACGAGGGAAGAAAAAGAGCAUAUUUGAAACUUACAUGUCCAAGGAGGAUGUUUCAGAAGGCUUGAAGAGAGGAACACUCAUCCAGGGUGUAUUGAGAAUUAAUCCAAAGAAGUUUCAUGAAGCCUUCAUUCCUUCCCCGGAUGGUGAUCGAGACAUUUUUAUUGAUGGGGUUGUUGCUCGUAAUAGAGCCUUAAAUGGGGAUCUGGUGGUCGUGAAACUGCUUCCCGAGGAGCAUUGGAAGGUAGUUAAACCAGAGAGCAAUGACAAAGAAACAGAAGCUGCGUAUGAAUCAGAUAUCCCCGAGGAGCUCUGUGGACACCAUCUCCCGCAACAGUCCCUGAAAAGCUAUAAUGACAGUCCUGAUGUCAUUGUAGAGGCUCAGUUUGAUGGCAGCGACUCAGAAGAUGGACAUGGCAUCACACAAAAUGUGCUGGUUGAUGGUGUUAAGAAACUCUCAGUUUGUGUUUCUGAGAAAGGAAGAGAGGAUGGUGAUGCACCGGUUACAAAAGAUGAGACCACCUGCAUUUCACAAGACACAAGAGCUUUAUCGGAGAAAUCCCUGCAAAGAUCAGCAAAGGUCAUUGCCUACAGAUUUUCUCCACGUGUCCAAAUGGCUUUCACCUGAGCUACUUGUUGAAGAUCUCGUGUGAUUCAGUCAGGACUGUAUUUGGUCAUUUAAUCAGAAAAGUUAGAGCAGAGAAUCAUAAAAAGUGAAUUAAAAAAAAAAAACUUUAAACAUAUAAAUACGAAUCCAUCUUCCUGCCUUUGGAUAAGGGGUCAAGGCCUUUUCUUUGAGUGUGGGCAGCUGGCUAAGAGUCUUGGGCAGGCUGGUGAAAUUGAGCCUGAAACAGAAGGAAUACUAACAGAGUAUGGCGUGGAUUUCUCUGAUUUCUCUUCAGAAGUUCUAGAAUGUCUUCCUCAAGGCCUGCCAUGGACAAUUCCACCAGAGGAGUUCAGCAAGAGAAGGGAUUUAAGAAAAGACUGUAUCUUCACCAUUGACCCAUCAACCGCCCGAGACCUCGAUGAUGCCCUCUCCUGCAAGCCACUCGCUGACGGCAACUUCAAAGUGGGAGUUCACAUUGCUGACGUGAGUUACUUUGUUCCGGAGGGAUCUGAUCUGGAUAAAGUGGCUGCCGAGAGGGCUACAAGCGUCUACUUGGUUCAAAAGGUGGUCCCCAUGCUUCCCAGGCUGCUGUGUGAGGAGCUGUGCAGCCUCAACCCCAUGUCCGACAAGCUGACCUUCUCUGUGAUCUGGACACUGACUCCAGAGGGCAAGAUCCUUGAUGAAUGGUUUGGCCGGACCAUCAUCCGCUCCUGCACCAAACUUAGCUACGAGCAUGCACAGAGCAUGAUUGAAAGCCCAACUGAGAAAAUCCCUGCGAAAGAGCUGCCCCCCAUUUCCCCAGAGCAUAGCAGCGAGGAGGUACACCAGGCCGUCUUGAAUCUCCACGGAAUUGCCAAGCAGUUACGCCAGCAGCGCUUUGUGGACGGCGCACUUCGUUUGGAUCAGCUAAAGCUUGCUUUCACUCUGGACCACGAGACCGGAUUGCCUCAAGGAUGUCAUAUCUAUGAGUACCGCGAGAGCAACAACAGGCCCUGCUGCGCCGGCACCCCCCGCCCCAAACAAGGAUGCUCAGUGACCUGGUGGAAUUCUGCGACCAGAUGGGGCUGCCCGUGGACUUCAGCUCCGCAGGAGCCCUCAAUAAAAGCCUGACCCAAACAUUUGGAGAUGACAAGUACUCACUGGCCCGCAAGGAGGUGCUCACCAACAUGUGCUCCCGGCCCAUGCAGAUGGCACUGUACUUCUGCUCGGGGCUGCUGCAGGACCCAGCGCAGUUCCGGCACUACGCGCUCAAUGUGCCCCUGUACACACACUUCACCUCGCCCAUCCGCCGCUUUGCCGACGUCCUGGUGCACCGCCUCCUGGCUGCCGCGUUAGGCUAUAGGGAGCGACUAGACAUGGCGCCCGAUACCCUGCAGAAACAGGCGGACCACUGUAACGACCGCCGCAUGGCGUCCAAGCGCGUGCAGGAGCUCAGUACCAGUCUCUUCUUUGCUGUUCUGGUCAAGGAGAGUGGCCCCCUGGAGUCAGAAGCCAUGGUGAUGGGCAUCCUGAAGCAAGCCUUCGACGUGCUGGUGCUGCGCUACGGCGUGCAGAAGCGCAUCUACUGCAACGCACUGGCCCUGCGGUCCCACCACUUCCAGAAGGUGGGCAAGAAGCCGGAACUCACGCUGGUCUGGGAGCCUGAGGACAUGGAGCAGGAGCCAGCACAGCAGGUCAGAACCCCUCUGUGUCCCAGCCCCCUAAGUCCUGAUGACCCCUCUCCUGCCUCCUGCGGUGCCCCUCAUUCCUUCAUCUGUGUCCCCUGGGCUCCCCCAGCACUGCAGCCUCCCGGGUGGGGUUUUAGGGCCCUCCCAGCUCACCCAGACCCCCUCCUGUGGGUCCUGCUUUCUGGCACCACCUUCCCUUCCUUGGGGGCAACCACAGUGGAGAGAGGAGGGGCUCUGCCUGUCCCGCUAAUGCAGGGGUGCUGGCCUUCUAGGGUCCUUUAGAGAACCUGAUGAAAGCUAUGAGUUUACACCCAAGAAAUUGUCUGGAACCGUUUUCACCAACAGUGUGCCCUGAACGCGGACCCAGGCCCUCAGGUUGUGUUUCAUAAGCCUUGGGAGCGCUCAGGAUGCAUCUGACUCCCCAACUCUGCCCUGACCCAGGGCAUUCUUCCUGGAGGGGGCCCCCAUUACAGACAGGCGAGCAGAGGCUUCCAGAGGCCGAAGGAGGGGCCAGGGGUCCUGCUGCAGGGAUGGAGGCAGAGCUGCGCCUCGACAUCAGGCCCUGCCAUCCUUGUCCCCUCACGGCUGGGCUCUGCACAGGUCAUCACCAUCUUCAGCCUGGUGGAGGUGGUCCUGCAGGCAGAGUCCACAGCCCUCAAGUACAGCGCCAUCCUGAAGCGGCCAGGCACCCAGGGCCACCUGGGCCCUGAGAAGGAGGAGGAGGAGUCUGACGGUGAGCCCGAGGACUCAAGCACCAGCUGAGCUCCACCAGCCGCCUGCCCCGCCUGCCCCGCCUGCCUGUCCCGCCACACUGGCUUUAGGACCUGUUGACACGGAGGGGGGUUUUUAAUUUGGUUUUUAACAACUCAGGGGUUUGUUUUUAUUUUUAUUUAAUUUUUGCAGCUCAACUUUUAAACAAACUGCAGGGGAGAGGGUGGGGCUGGAAGGAAGGCUGAGGCCUGGUCAGCAGUGACCCCAGCAGAGCAGGCCCCAGUCCUCCUGGGAGGCUGGCCCCCCUUUUUUCUGGGCCCUACUGCCCUCCUCUGCCCAGGAAAUGGGGGGGUUUCAGCAACUCAGUGUCACAGAAUAAAAUCAAGUGUGGAGUGCCAUCUGGUGUGUAGGGCGCCUCUGGGAAGCCUGGGCAGCAGAAUGCCCCUUGCACCCAGGGCAAGGGACCCAGUUCAGGCUUCACCCCUCGCUGCUGAGCCGAUGUCAACACCUGGAACUUUCCUGUCAGUUCCAACACGAUUCAGAGCUGGCUGCCUGGCAGAUGAUUGAUACUGGAGUCUCAUUCUGCCUGAUUAAAAAUGGAAUUAGUAUGCAA